rnacentral:rRNA from 1 species
GAUGAACGCUGGCGGCGUGCUUAACACAUGCAAGUCGAACGGAAAGGCCCAAGCUUGCUUGGGUACUCGAGUGGCGAACGGGUGAGUAACACGUGGGUGAUCUGCCCUGCACUUCGGGAUAAGCCUGGGAAACUGGGUCUAAUACCGGAUAGGACGAUGGUUUGGAUGCCAUUGUGGAAAGUUUUUUCGGUGUGGGAUGAGCUCGCGGCCUAUCAGCUUGUUGGUGGGGUAAUGGCCUACCAAGGCGUCGACGGGUAGCCGGCCUGAGAGGGUGUACGGCCCCAUUGGGACUGAGAUACGGCCCAGACUCCUACGGGAGGCAGCAGUGGGGAAUAUUGCACAAUGGGCGCAAGCCUGAUGCAGCGACGCCGCGUGGGGGAUGACGGCCUUCGGGUUGUAAACUCCUUUCGCUAGGGACGAAGCGUUUUUGUGACGGUACCUGGAGAAGAAGCACCGGCUAACUACGUG